GAGGGAAAGCUGGCGAGGUCGGUUGUGUCCGUCAGGGGACAAAAAAAGGCUGGGCUACACACGUGCUACAAUGGCAUCUACAGUGGGCAGCUAUUCCGCAAGGAUGCGCUAAUCUCCAAAAGAUGUCUCAGUUCGGAUUGUCCUCUGCAACUCGAGGGCAUGAAGGCGGAAUCGCUAGUAAUCGCGGAUCAGCAUUCUGCGGUGAAUACGUUCCCAGGCCUUGUACACACCGCCCGUCACACCAUGGGAGUUGGAUUCACUCGAAGGCGUUGAGCUAACCCGCAAGGGAGGCAGGCGACCACAGUGGGUUUAGCGACUGGGGUGAAGUCGUAACAAGGUACCAA
rnacentral:rRNA from 1 species